CCUACGGGUGGCAGCAGUGAGGAAUAUUGGGCAAUGGAGGCAACUCUGACCCAGCCAUGCCGCGUGAGUGAAGAAGGUUUUCGGAUUGUAAAGCUCUUUCGGAUGUGACGAUGAUGACGGUAGCAUCUAAAGAAGCCCCGGCUAACUUCGUGCCAGCAGCCGCGGUAAUACGAAGGGGGCAAGCGUUGUUCGGAAUUACUGGGCGUAAAGGGAGUGUAGGCGGGUUAGUAAGGUAGAAGUGAAAUCCCAGGGCUUAACUUUGGAAUUGCCAUUAUAACUAUUAGACUAGAGUUACGGAGAGGAUAGUGGAAUACCCAGUGUAGAGGUGAAAUGCGUAGAUAUUGGGUAGAACACCAGUGGCGAAGGCGACUAUCUGGCUGUACAUUGACGCUGAGGCUCGAAAGCGUGGGGAGCAAACAGGAUUAGAUACCCGAGUAGUC
rnacentral:rRNA from 1 species